rnacentral:rRNA from 1 species
UACGUAGGGGGCAAGCGUUGUCCGGAUUUAUUGGGCGUAAAGAGCGUGUAGGCGGUCAGGUAGGUCCGUUGUGAAAACUCGAGGCUCAACCUCGAGACGCCGAUGGAAACCAUCUGACUAGAGUCCGGAAGAGGAGAGUGGAAUUCCUGGUGUAGCGGUGAAAUGCGCAGAUAUCAGGAAGAACACCCGUGGCUAAGGCGGCUCUCUGGGACGGUACUGACGCUGAGACGCGAAAGCGUGGGGAGCAAACAGG